ensembl:lncRNA
AACAGAGAUAAUUUGUCUGCUGCACUGGGCUCUGGUGACUGGGUGGCUUGUAGACUAGGCCCACGGCCUUUCACCUCAUCCUGCUCUUGCCUGCUGGUUCUCCCAGCCAUGCCGAUUAGAAGCGAGAGAAAUUAAGAUCUCCCCCUCGCCUCCCACCGCCAUAGGCUGCAGGAGUAUGAGAGAGUGUCCUAUCCAGCUAAGAACAGGGUCUCGCCAGGACCCUGGGCCUGAACAGAUUUAUGUAAGAAGAAAGGCAACGUAGAUUUGGCAGAGCCAGUCUCCCUAACGGCAAUUAGGUUGCAGGCAACUUUGAAGGUAGGCGGAAACUGUCCAUGAGGGGAUGGGAACCUAGUCUCCCCCUAGCGCGGAGGCCAGCCUGGCGUGGGUGAUCACACAGCUGCUAGUUUGGAAGAAUUUGUUCAAAGCAAGGAACUUCUGCCCACAGUCAUCCCUUCCAUCUCUCCACUUCUACCCUUGGGCCUAAGACUUCACUGCCUCAGCUGUUGAGGAGUAGACUUCUCUUGACAUCAUUAAUGUGCCCAAGAUGCCCUGUUUGCACAUAUUUGUGUGCCUUCCAAUUAAAAUGAUUCAUUAAACCUCUGGUGGAGUUCAUUUUUAUUCUGCAAUAAGAACACUCAAAUAAAUACAUUCAGCCAUGGAAAGAAUCCUUUGAGCAAGCCCAUGUCCUAAUUUUGGUUUGGGGAAUCUAGUCCUGAAGUUGUCAUCUGGGAAUGUGCUGAAGAGACUGGAGGCCAGUUUUGCAAGGGAGCUGAGCAGGCCGACCUGACUCUGGCUACUUGGAGUGGGGCUGAGCAGCUUGGCUCUGUCCGGCCCUGGGGACAGCAUGGCAGCUCCUGAGGACUCCGCAGGCCCUGCAGCCCUGUGGCCCAGAAGCAGGGGCUCCCUCUCUCCUUUGGGAGAUCGUUGUGGAAUGUAGUUAACAUCAGCCUCAGCAAACACCACACUCCGCAUACCGUGAUGCUGCCUGGGGACAACCCGCAGCUAUAGUUUCCAUCCUGAGUGACUGGGAAGUAGCAUGUGUCACUCCCAACCGUGGGUCUCCACAGAGGAGGCCAAGUGGCUACUGGAUGCACCUGGAUGGGGCUCACGCCCAGUCUGUUCCGGGCUCUGUGACCUGAUGAUUUGGGGGUCCUUGAUGCCCCUCUGAGUUGCAGUUGUUUUCCAGUGGAAGACAUCUCUCAGAAACCUACCAUGCUACCCAAUUUGUAUUUCUAAGUCUUGCCAGCAAUCCCACUCAUUCCUGUUUUACAGACAAGGAGAUUGUUGCUCAGAGAGAUUCAUUGACUUGACC